AUACGGAGGGUGCAAGCGUUACUCGGAAUCACUGGGCGUAAAGCGCGCGCAGGCGGCUAUUUAAGUUGGAUGUGAAAGCCUACGGCUCAACCGUAGAACUGCAUCCAAAACUAUUUAGCUAGAGUGUGGGAGAGGAAGAUGGAAUUAGUUGUGUAGGGGUAAAAUCCGUAGAGAUAACUAGGAAUACCAAAAGCGAAGGCAAUCUUCUGGAACACUACUGACGCUGAGGCGCGAAAGCGUGGGGAGCAAACGGGAUUUGAAACCCUAGUAGUCC
rnacentral:rRNA from 1 species